rnacentral:rRNA from 1 species
UCGGUGAGAUAGUGCUAAAAAUAAAAAGACCAUUCCUAUGGAACGGUUAUUUCAAUGAGUAGAUCUUAAAUCUAUCUUCGAGUAUCUAGUGGAGGGCAAGUCUGGUGCCAGCAGCCGCGUAAUUCCAGCUCCACAAGUGUAAAUCGUCAUUGCUGCGGUUAAAAAGCUCGUAGUUGGACCUUAGUUACGUACUUUGAUUCGCCUUUGGUGUAAUCAUUGUCGUGACUAUUUUGGUGGGUUUCUGUUGGUGGGCUCCGGUCCUUCAGUGGCUAGCGAGUUUACUUUGGAUUAAUUAGAGUGCUCCAAACAAGGGUUUCUUUAAUGCCUCGAUCAUGAAUAAUAAAAGAGGACUUUCGUUUCUUUUUGUGGUUCAGGAACUGAAUUAAUGGUUAAGGAGGAAAACUCCGGGGCAUUCCUAUUCCUGCGCGGAGGGGGGAAUUCGUGGACCGCCAGGGGCCCCCCUAAAGGAAAGAUUUGGCCAGCAUGUCCUCAAUAAACAAGAAC